GGAGGUAGAGGCACAGCGGGUGGAUAGGGGAGCUCCGCUUCCGGCGGCAGGGUCUGGGGAAGGGGCGGCAGGCGCCAUGUCUGGCCGCGAAGGUGGCAAGAAGAAGCCCCUGAAGCAACCCAAGAAGCAGGCCAAGGAGAUGGACGAGGAAGAUAAGGCAUUCAAGCAGAAACAGAAAGAGGAGCAGAAGAAACUCGAGGAGCUAAAAGCGAAGGCCGCGGGGAAAGGCCCCCUGGCCACAGGUGGAAUUAAGAAAUCUGGCAAAAAGUAAGCCGUCCCUUGUGCCCGAGUCAAUGGUGAUCUUUAAUUCUAUUCCUGUUUAAACAUCUGGAUUCCCUGCCACAGCAUCUGUUGCCACCUAUAGCUAGAAUGAAGUGUUGUCUUAGAUCCUGUUGUACAUUUAAGAAUAAACUUUUGUAAAAAAGAAAUAAUAAAAUCAGUCAAUCGUAAGUAGCUCACGUUCUCUUAUCAUUCAGUGAUUUCUGCCUUUGUUGUGAGGUCAGAGUAAACCUAGCCCAAAAUCCUACCAGUGUGUGCUCUUCAGUCUUUGUUCUGUCCUGAACUCUGUUCCACUGGGAAUUAAACCAACUCAUUUGAA